AGACAUGCGCCGUCACCUCGGAAACGGCCGCGCGGGGGCGAGAACUCGCCGGGGCGGGAGCCGCAAUGCGAUCUCAGUAAGCGCUAGACUCGAGUCACGUGACCCGCCAGCGUCUACCCUGUCCUCUGGCCUUUAGUCAGAACAGAUUACACAAACGAACAACCAGAGACUACGUAACCCAGAAUGCAAACUCGGUCCCGGGUUAUAAAUUCCCUUCCGCUUUAGGGAGAGAGACUACAAAUCCCAGCAGUCUGUGCGCUUCCAGGACGAGGCCUGUGCGGAAGUGGAUUGGCCCCUCCGGACCCUGGAGAUAGAGCAAAGAAUGUUCCAUGGAUUAGCUCCCCCCAUUAAUAAACGUGAGUUCGGGGCAUACUCCUCCUCUUUCUUGCCUGCCUUGCUCAGCUUAUGGGAGCUGUGGCUGAGGAGCGGUCACUGAACCCAAAAAAAAAGAUGGCAGAACAAAACAACAGCAGCAGCAACAACAACAACAAAAAAACCCACACCAUAUAAAUAAAUAACUGUGAGAUUGGACCUCAAUAUUUCUGAAUCUUUGAUGGCCGGUGGCAAGCAUAAAAUGUCUAUUCUAAAAGUUCUAGAAUUUUCCCUUAAUGACUCUAAAGAGAGAGCAUGAAAAAAUGUAUCAGUCUUAGAGGAAUCAAUCACUUUGACGACUAUUUUUGCCAUGCACAUAUGAGCAAAUACCUUUGCCUUGGAUCCUGAGAGAUUUCUAGUUAUUGGUAAAAUCAUCCUAGUGCAAAUAUAAAAUUUUUAAAUGAGAAUUUAAAAAGCUCAAUAUGCUAGGUUCUUAUCUCUAAUACACAUGUAGGAAAAUAAG